UGCCGAGGCGUCUGACUCGCGUCUGACUCAAGGGGGAGAAUGAGGAAAAUGAUAGGAAAUGAAAGGACGCAAAAAGAAACCCCCAUCAAAACAAUUUUUUAUUAGAAAGGAUUUGUAUUUUAUUGGAAAGGAUUCUUAAAUUUUUUUUGGUACUUUCACUGAAACUUUUUUCGGUAAAGGAAAUUUUUGUUGGCACCUUUUUCUGGAUUUUAGGAUUUUUUUUCCCCAAAAGUUUUCAUUUAACGCUCUUGUGUUUCUAUGUGGGAAAUGGGGCUAAAUGCUUUGGAACCUGCAAGAAGCUUGUAGAUUAGAAACCUAUGAGUAAUUGAAAGGUCCGUAAGCUAUCGAAUUCGAGACUUCUCGGGACUUCAUCGGAAUUUCGCCCUCCGGAGGGAGGGCUUAGGUUUUCGGCCGUUGCCAGUAGCGCUUCGCCAAAACCAGGUAGCGGGCUUCAAUUAAGAUAUCGCCAACACUGAAGCUGGCGGCAGAGGUCACGGCACUGCCUUAAGUGUUAUUGAGAAGAGUCCUGGAGUUUUGGAUAAGGAAGAUAGGAAGUUGAUUCAUUUUAGUUCAAGGGAGUGGAGGCUAUAGCUGGGAAUAGAAAUGGAUUAAGGUGGCUCUUCGUCAGUCUAUUUCUUCUGCAGUGGAGAGGAAGAUCAUGAUGUACCAGAACCAAAUAAUACUACUCCAACUGGAUUCUUGUAGGAAGGCCUUUUAAACUAAUGGUCUUCGAUUCUAUCCUUGAAAUGUUAUUCUGUUAAUUUUUACUGAGAAAUAAUUGAUAAACUUGAGCAGUUUUAUGUA